AUCGCUUCUCGGCCUUUUGGCUAAGAUCAAGUGUAGUAUCUGUUCUUAUCAGUUUAAUAAUGCUAUAUCUUUAAAUGCAAUUUGAAAAUAUUUAACUACAGCUUAUGAAGUGGCACAAUUAAAAUACAUUGUUUUUCCCCGUGAUUGAAACCAUGAGGGACUACUUCCUUCGUGACACCUAAU